ACCUAGCUGGCUCACUUGGUAAAGCAUGUGACUCUUGAUCUCAGGGUUGUGGGUUUUAGCCCUACAUUGGGUG
rnacentral:tRNA from 1 species